rnacentral:rRNA from 1 species
UACGUAGGCAGCAAGCGUUGUUCGGAGUUACUGGGCGUAAAGGGUGUGUAGGCGGUUAUUUAAGUUUGGUGUGAAAUCUCCCGCUCGACCGGGAGGGUGCGCCGAAUACUGAAUGACUUGGAGUGCGGGAGAGGAAAGUGGGAAUUCCUGGUGUAGCGGUGAAAUGCGUAGAUAUCAGGAGGAACACCGGUGGUGUAGACGGCUUUCUGGACCGUAACUGACGCUGAGACACGAAAGCGUGGGUAGCAAACAGG